rnacentral:misc_RNA from 1 species
CGAUUUUAUUAUAGGGAGCAGUGAAUUCAUUUACACACCUAAACACAUAAUAAGCUAUUUAAUGUGGAAAAUUCUUCCUUUUCUGUAAUAUUUUCUCAUAUUAAUAUGAAUAUGCGUAAACUUUAUUAGAUCAUGCUUCCACGAAGAAUUUAUUUACAUUAUAACUCAGUAUUUUCACGACUUCUUAAAAUAAAAAUAAACGAAAAGUACAAAUCUAACCCCUGUGAUUUUACCACACCAAAAUUCUUAGGUCAAGGCAAAGGACGAGAUUGGAUCGCAUUAUUAUCAUCGCAAGAGGCAACCGAGGACCAACCAUAGGCCCUCGUCCAAGUAGAGCUGUUGCCAAAAUAGACAGCGACUUUCGUGACUUUCCAGAUGCACUGUCCAAGUCAUAAGAAUCUUUGCUAAGAACGAAAGCAACGUUGCUCCGUCGCUGGGAAUGUGCAAAUCUCCCUGCCAACUAACAACAUAUAGAUCGCAUUUUUACGAUAAUCGCAGAGAAACUCCAAAGGAACAGAUCCCAUAGAUUGAUUACGGGUAAAAUUAACUAUAUUGUGAUGCGAAGUACCAAAAUUAACUAUAUUAUUUUCUGAAAUUGCUCGAAUCCUUAAAAUGUGAAAUUAUGUAUAUAAAAAAUAAAUACACUCAUAACAUUAUCACUAAAUAUUAAUAAGUCGAGAUGAAGUACAUAAAAAAUUAAUACUUAAAAUUCUAAAACUGUAUUAUUAUUCAAUAAGAAGCAACAUUAACUGUCUAGAGCUGUAUUAUUUUCCUGUUCAUUCUUUGAACUAACUUUGGAACGCUGACUAAAAAGUCAAGCUUCGAUACCACCAUCCCAACCAUACUUGCUCUUUAGUCCAAAUAGAUACCAACCUCAGUCACUUCCAUACCCACACCUCCAAUCUCUACCAUUUGCGGCCUGAUCAAUCGCUAUGAAUUGCUUGUGCUUCUAUAGACAAGUUUAACGCUUUUCAACAAGUGUGAACGAUAAUCCAAGCAAGGGGAUUAGCGAGCUACACAACAACGAUCCUAAUAAAACGAGAUCUAAGGAAGGACUCUCCCAAACAGUAAGCGCUUCCAAAGUAGCAUAAAUAAUGGGAUGUUUAUCUACCACUUUAACAAAUUUAUCCAAUACAUGAAAAAAAAAUAUUCAUAAUCAAUCAAACUACUAUUCCAUAGCUGAAACCAAUAUGCAUAAGUUCAAGGAUAAAAGACAGUAGAACAAACACCACAAGCGCAUUUACAUGCAAAACACAUAUCUACCAUUUUAUCGAUUGAUAAGUUUAUUUGUUUAGUAAAGCAUGCACAAGUUACAAACCUUGAGCAUGAUUAGUUAUAACUACAUCCUCUACAAAGAUAUACACAAGAACAAGUGCACAAUCCCCCAUUACUUCAUACACGUGAGGAGCACAGAGAACAUCCUAAACUGAGAAAUAUACAAGUGGAAGAAAGAUACUUACAUAACCAAAAAGAGUGGCCCAGUCCCCCCUUCCUUGGACGCAUCAGGAAUACUGGAGUAGCAGAAGAGGUGAUUGGACAUUUCCCAGCUCCAGUCCUGUUUCCUAGACACAGACAUUCUGGGCCAUCGGUUUAUCCUAACAUAGUGCUCCCUGAUUGUCCCGUCACCAACAAAACUAGUUACAACUGAAAAACAGCAUUCAUGACCACCCCAUACCCUAUCACCAGGAUCAGCAGUUUGGCUUCCAUCUUGAUGAAAGUAGCGGUGCAUGGGAGGGCCAGUGCCUUUCCAAUAGGGAUCAAGAUUUCUCCAAUAUUCCGGAGCCAACUAAGGGCAUGUUGAUAGAUGUCAGACAUUCAUGAGCAAAGAAUUGCAGUUGGACUUGAGCAAACUAUAAACCAAAACUUGAAGAAGGUAUGACCCAUAAGUUGGAGAUGGAUGGGUAUGAUGGGUAUUAGUCUACGCACCAGUGGUAAUAUAACAUGGGAUGUUAUUGGAAUUAUUAUAGAUAGUACAGAGGGAAGAUAAGGAGUUCCAACUGAGGGAAAUCCUUGAGUAACUAACGUAUAUCAAAGCCAUGCAUGUAAAGAAGUGCAUUGAUGAAAAUUGCAAAUUAACCGUGAAAAUAAACAUGUCUAGGAUCACAAAUAGACAAGCAUAAUUGAAUUAUUUUUAAUAUAGAAAAAGAUGCAUACUAAAAUUCUUGACCUCUUCCUUAAAAUUUUAAAGAAUAUCAUUGCAAAGGCUACACAAGAUUAUAAUCAACCAAAAGAGAUAGGAUUGUGAUAUUAACAGAUUCCAUUGUCAUGCAUGCUUCAAAUUAGUGGAAUCAUCACUGCACUGGAUGACAGACUUUAUUAACAAGUUGUGUCAGGUAUGCUUCUUUCAUAAUAAUUAUGUACUCUAUACAGAAGAACAUACCUUUGUAAAAUGGAAUUCCCAAACAUGAUCACACAGAUCAUCCCUCAUGAUACGAGUCUGGCAUAAAAGAUAAACAAAACAAUCACUUUUGUUAAUUCUAUGUUAAUGAGCUUUCUGCAUAUGCACACAGUGCAUGUUGAGAAAUAGGAGAGGAUAAAGGGAAGAAAGGGGUAUAGACUAAUCAUUACUCACUCGUUUGCCAUCGAUAACAGAUAAUGAAUAAGCAGCCAACUUGGAUAUUCCCCGGACCUGUGACAAGCGCGGAAUGUGUGCUUUUCCAAGCCACAAUUCCUCACACUUAGAGCUCCACAGACGAUCGCUAGAAGCAACGCGAUGCCACCCGCGAGAGACAAGGAGAGAUAGUGCCACGCUGCGUGCGUCGAGAUUGCUGAGAAUCUUCAUCAUCAAGUCCCAACCAAGGACCUCCAGAGGGUCUUGUCGAAGAGAAUCUCCAUUAGCGUUCUCUUCAUCAGCCGCUUCAUAUCCAUCCAGUUCAACUCUCUUACUUCUCUUCCUCUUCCUGUUCGACCCUUUCCUCUCCUCAGGCAGCAAUUCUCCUCCACCAAAAUGGAAAGCGUUAGGGCGGCGAGGAGACGAUAAAGUAGUGUCGUCGAGCUCUUCCAUGUCAUUGGUUUCAUUCAUUCCUUGGGACCUGGUCCGAGCCAUUGAAGGUAAAAAGGAAAAAUACAGUGAAGAGGGGAUGAACUGAAAUCACGUGCGCAUAGAGUAAAGGACUACAUCAUUUUUCCCCUUUUCUUUAAUAGAGUUUUGUCGUUUUGUGGGAGAUGGAUUAUCGUCCACAUACAGUGCACGGGAU